UACAGAGGGGGCGAGCGUUGCCCGGAAUUAUUGGGCGUAAAGAGCUCGUAGGCGGUUUGUCGCGUCUGGUGUGAAAAUCCAGGGCUUAACCCUGGACCUGCAUCGGGUACGGGCAGACUAGAGUGCGGUAGGGGAGAUCGGAAUUCCUGGUGUAGCGGUGAAAUGCGCAGAUAUCAGGAGGAACACCGGUGGCGAAGGCGGAUCUCUGGGCCGUAACUGACGCUGAGGAGCGAAAGCAUGGGGAGCGAACAGG
rnacentral:rRNA from 1 species